GACAGAGGGUGCAAACGUUGUUCGGAUUUACUGGGCGUAAAGCGCGUGUAGGCGGCUUUGCAAGUCGGAUGUGAAAGCCCACGGCUCAACCGUGGAAGUGCAUCCGAAACUGCAUAGCUGGAGUCCCGGAGAGGAAGGUGGAAUGCUUGGUGUAGAGGUGAAAUUCGUAGAUAUCAAGCAGAACACCUGCGGCGAAGGCGGCCUUCGUGGACGUGGACGUGACGCUGGAGACGCGAA
rnacentral:rRNA from 1 species